rnacentral:rRNA from 1 species
GAUGAACGCUAGCGGCAGGCUUAAUACAUGCAAGUCGUGGGGCAGCAUGAGUAGCAAUACUUGAUGGCGACCGGCAAACGGGUGAGGAACACGUACACAACCUUCCUUCAAGCGGGGAAUAGCCCAGAGAAAUUUGGAUUAAUACCCCAUAAUAUAUUUGAUAAGGCAUCUUAUUAAUAUUAAAGCUUCGGCACUUGAUGAUGGGUGUGCGGCUGAUUAGAUAGUUGGCGGGUAACGGCCCACCAAGUCUACGAUCAGUAGCUGAUGUGAGAGCAUGAUCAGCCACACGGGCACUGAGACACGGGCCCGACUCCUACGGGAGGCAGCAGUAAGGAAUAUUGGACAAUGGACGAAAGUCUGAUCCAGCCAUGCCGCGUGAAGGAUUAAGGUCCUCUGGAUUGUAAACUUCUUUUAUAUGGGACGAAAAAGGGCAUUCUUGUUCACUUGACGGUACCAUAUGAAUAAGCACCGGCUAACUCCGUGCCAGCA